rnacentral:rRNA from 1 species
AGAGUUUGAUCAUGGCUCAGAUUGAACGCUGGCGGCGUGCCUAACACAUGCAAGUCGAGCGGUAACAGGUGUAGCAAUACAUGCUGACGAGCGGCGGACGGGUGAGCAAUAUUUGGGAAUCUGCCUAUUAGUGGGGGACAACCCGGGGAAACUCGGGCUAAUACCGCAUACGCACUACGGUGGAAAGCCGGGGACCGCAAGGCCUGGCGCUAAUAGAUGAGCCCAAAUCGGAUUAGCUAGUUGGUGAGGUAACGGCUCACCAAGGCGACGAUCCGUAGCUGGUCUGAGAGGACGACCAGCCACACCGGAACUGAGACACGGUCCGGACUCCUACGGGAGGCAGCAGUGGGGAAUAUUGGACAAUGGGCGAAAGCCUGAUCCAGCGACGCCGCGUGGGUGAAGAAGGCCUGCGGGUUGUAAAGCCCUUUCGGUGGGGAUAAAAAGCCUUGGUUUAACACACCAGGGUCUUGAUCUAACCCAAGAAAGAAGCACCGGCUAACUCUGUGCCAGCAGCCGCGGUAAUACAGAGGGUGCGAGCGUUAAUCGGAAUUACUGGGCGUAAAGCGCACGUAGGUGGCUUGGCAAGUCGAGUGUGAAAUCCCCGGGCUUAACCUGGGAACUGCAUUCGAGACUGCUUUGCUAGAGUAUGGGAGAGGGAAGUGGAAUUUCCGGUGUAGCGGUGAAAUGCGUAGAUAUCGGAAGGAACAUCAGUGGCGAAGGCGACUUCCUGGACCAAUACUGACACUCAAGUGCGAAAGCGUGGGGAGCAAACAGGAUUAGAUACCCUAGUAGUCC